rnacentral:rRNA from 1 species
AUUGAACGCUGGCGGCAGGCCUAACACAUGCAAGUCGAACGGCAGCACAGAAGAGCUUGCUCUUUGGGUGGCGAGUGGCGGACGGGUGAGUAAUGUCUGGGAAACUGCCCGCUGGAGGGGGAUAACUACUGGAAACGGUAGCUAAUACCGCAUAACGUCGCCAGACCAAAGUGGGGGACCUUCGGGCCUCACACCAUCGGAUGUGGCCAGAGGGGAUUAGCUAGUAGGUGGGGUAAUGGCUCACCUAGGCGACGAUCCCUAGCUGGUCUGAGAGGAUGACCAGCCACACUGGAACUGAGACACGGUCCAGACUCCUACGGGAGGCAGCAGUGGGGAAUAUUGCACAAUGGGCGCAAGCCUGAUGCAGCCAUGCCGCGUGUAUGAAGAAGGCCUUCGGGUUGUAAAGUACUUUCAGCGGGGAGGAAGGCGGUGAGGUUAAUAACCUCGCCGAUUGACGUUACCCGCAGAAGAAGCACCGGCUAACUCCGUGCCAGCCGCCGCCGUAA